GACAGAGGGUGCGAACGUUGCUCGGAAUUAUUGGGCGUAAAGCGCGUGUAGGCGGGGGGGCAAGUCCGUUGUGAAAUCCCUGGGCUCAACCCAGGAACUGCAUCGGAAACUGCGUGUCUUGAGUAAUGGAGAGGGAAGUGGAAUUCCCGGUGUAGAGGUGAAAUUCGUAGAUAUCGGGAGGAACACCAGUGGCGAAGGCGGCUUCCUGGACAUUUACUGACGCUGAGACGCGAAAGCGUGGGGAGCAAACAGG
rnacentral:rRNA from 1 species